AGUGAAAGUGAAGUCGCUCAGUCAUGUCCAAUUCAGCAACCCCAUGGACUACAGCCUACCAGGCUCCUCCGUCCAUGGGCUUUUCCAGGCAAGAGGACUGGAGUGGGGUGCCGUUGCCUUCUCCAGUCCGGGAGGCUACUGACAGCCAUAAGCAGCACACAGCAGUUGGAGGAGGGCAGUGGUGAGCAUUAGAGUACUUGGUGGGAGUUCUACCCAGGAUUUGGACCUAGAGCCUGAGAGGCCUGGAGAGUGCAUAGACUGUGGAAAGUCUGUCGGAUAGUAAGCGCUGGUGGGUAGUAAGUGCCUGGUAAGCAAUAAUCUCCUUUAAUACUUAGAAUUUAAUGCAGCAGAAGUUUUUAACUCCCAUUAGUCUAAGGAGGGCUUCCCUGAUAGUAAAGAAUCUGCCUGCAACGCAGGAGACCCUGGUUCAAUUCCUGGGUCGGGAAGAUCCGCUGGAGAAGGGAUACCACCCACUCCAGUAUGCUUGGGCUUCCCUUGUGGCUCAGCUGGUCUCGUGCCGGUGGUUCUGCUGUUCAGGAAUUAGUAAUUGAAGGGCAAAAAGCAAGUUUUCUUACUUCCCACCUCUAGUAAGGAGACUAAGAAUUCCAUUCAAAUUAAAAGUAUUAGAUCCUCUAUAAAUGGUCUCCAGUGGAAAAAAAAUGCCCACAGAGCAUUUCCCCUCUGAAUAUGGAAAGUGUUUACAGCAGGCAUGUAAUUGGAACUGUUCCCCAGCAAGCCCCAUGCCAGAGAUGGACCACGGAGACCACAGGUGCCCACCCCGGGGGUGAGAAGAGGAGGUAAAGGACACCAACACCUUCAGUUGUCAGGGGGUCCCCCGCCUACUACUGCCAAGUCCAGCACUUCACACUUUGUAACUAGUCCCACGCUGGUGAGUGUACAGAGCGCUGGAAAGCAGAGAAUGGUACGGUGCAAGGUGGGCAUGUGCUCAGUUGCUAACCGACUGUGACCCAUGGACUGUAGCCUGCCAGGCUCCUCUGUCCAUGGGCGAGAGGACUCGGGUGGGGUGCCAUUUCCUUCUCCAGGGGAUCUUUCCUAACCAGGCGCUGAACCUGCUGCUCCUGCAUUGACUGGCAGAUAGUUCACCACUGAGCCACCAGCGUGGAAACGACCUCCUCAGGAUUGUGGUUGUGAGAAAUCGACAAAACCGGCACAAGGAUUCAUCAAAGUCCCAAGAUAAGACAUCAAUAUACGAAAUGGGAUUUAAAUUUUGUUAGCAGGAAAAAAAGUCAUCAGUGUUUUAAAAUGCCUACUAGCAUUUUAAAAUCUGUACUAGAAAACAAAAACAACAAAUUGUAAUAGCAUACUAAACAGGAAUAUAUUUUACAAGAAGUUAUGCAAGACCCUGCAUCUGAGAACUGGAAAGCAGAAAUUAGAGACCGAGGUAAACGGAGAAAAGUGAAAGAAGCCAGACAGAAAAAACACUACCUCCUGUGUGAUAGGAUUUUAGGCAAGGCACAACCAUGGGAAGCAGGGCCUAGUGGACUGGACUGCAGGGGGUCCAGGAGGGAACUCGCGCCCCGAAACUCGUGGCAGCUGCGCAGCUGUAUGUGUUUAUUAAAAUUCCAGCUUAAAAUACACAAAAUGGGUGAAUCUGAACCGUGUUUUGUACAUAAACAGAAAAUGAAAAAAAAGCAAAGCUAUAGAAAGCAGUCUAUAGGGAUUCAGAAGUGAGUUUGAGCAAGUCCUGCACCUCAUUACUUCACUUGUAAAUCAGCUAAUUUAAAUACUCCGGAGCCUGUUCCGGCGUUUCCUAGGUAGUGGGCUUAGCAGAUGCCUGGUGUUUAACGGGCUCACUACUCAGCUGGUCACCUUGCUUGGGCUCAGUUCGCCCAUACUUUCUGCAGUGUAACCUCCUGCAAGCCCCAACCCAGGCCUCUCCCUUCUAGAAUUUUCCCCAGACUGCCGUGGCCUUGCUGUCUCCCAGUCCUCUGAACUCACUAGUUGCUAUCAAGCACAGAUUCCUCAUACUUUCAUUGAACAGCAGCAAAGGACCAGCCCAACACACGAAAGAUGCAUCAUCAGAGAGUUUCCCUGGUGGUCCAGCGGUAAAGAAUCCCCCUGCCAGUGCAGGGGACAUGGGUUUGAACCCUGAUCUGGGAAGAUGCCGCGGAGCAGCGAAGCCUGUGUGCCAGAACUACUGAAGAGCCUGUGCCCUAGAGGCCCUGCUCUGCAACAAAAGAAGCCCCCGCAAUGAGAAAGCCCACACACCGCAAUGAAGGGCAGCCCCAGCUCACCGCAACUAGAGAAAAGCCUGCACAGCAGUGGAGACCCAGCAUGGCCAAAAAUAAAUACUUUUAAAGAAUAAAAAACUACAAAGAAACAUGCAUCAUGGGGGAAGGCAGCCAUGGCAAAGGUCACGGAGCCCCAGUUGUGGUUGGAAGUACAGGGGCUCAGCUGGUGGGGCAGGGUGGGCAGGGGUGUGGGAAGGCUCCAAGGGGGUGGUGUGUGGCGGGGUGUGCUCCAGGAAGAGGGUGACUGCUGAUAGAAGGUGGGGGGCUUCCCAGUGUAACCAAGUCUUGAGAGCCUGGAUGUGUUAGGUCUUGAGAAGGGACCCCUGAGUGUCUGAGUGAUGAGAGAAAGCUAGAAGGUGAAACCUACUGAGUGUGCCUUGAACAAUCAGCCUUGGGCCUGGAUUGGAGACUGUCCAGCCACUUAGAUGAUGGGAAGAGGGUCGCCGUGGUCUGCCAUGGGGCUGCUUUUUCAGAAUGGGGGGCCCACCCCUUGGGAAACGUCCUCAACACCAGGAAUAGUGAGUUGAAUUGAUGUGACAAGUCAGCUCCACCAUCCGUGAAGUUGCCUCAUCUUUGUACCCUACACAUGGGAAGAACAGCACUGAGAAAUCCAGGGCACGCCCACAGUGGCAAUCCCACACUUUGGUCUGACGAUCCUACUUUCAGUGAUGGGUUUGAGGAAGAGCCAAUAGGACCAGUCCUGACUCGCCAACAUAGAUUGAUUUCUAAAGUGCAUGCAGCAGUGGAGAGAGACGAGUAAGUGUUGACAAGGACACGCAGUAAUCAGAGCCCUCACACACCGAUGAUGAGGAAGUAAAGUCAUGCCAUUUUGGAAAACAAUCUGGCAGUUCCUGGAAAAGUUAAACAUAGAAUUACCAUGUGAUCCAGCAAUCCCACUCCUAGGUAUGUACCAGGAGAAAUGAAAACAUAUGUCCACAAAAAUACAUACAGUCCUCCCAGGGUGUCUAUCCCUCAGGGGCUUUGUUCCAGGAUCCCCGAGGACACCAAAAUCUGAGGAUGCCCAAGUCUCUUGUAUGAAGAGAAGGGUGAAGUCAGCCCUCUGAGUCCUCAGAAUAUGUGUGCACACAUUUUCAUAGCAGCAUUAUCGAUCCUAAAGGAAAUCAACCAUGAAUAUUCAUUGGAAGGACUGCUGCUGAAGCUGAAGCUCCAGUACUUUGGCCACUUGAUGCCAAGAGUGGACUCAUGGGAAAAGACCUUGAUGCUGGGAAAGACUGAAGGCAAAAGGAGAAGGGGGCGGCAGAGGAUGAGAUGGUUAGACAGCAUCACCAGCUCAAUGGACAUGAAUCUGAGCAAACUGCUGGAGAUAGUGGUGGACAGGAGCCUGCAGUCCACGGAGUCGCAAAGAGUCGGACACAACUUAGUGACUGAACAACAACAAUUAUUUAUAAAAGCCAAAAGGUGGAGACAAACCAAAUGUCCAUCAACCGAUGAAUGGAAAAUAAAUAUUCCAUGGCAGUGGAAUAUUAUUGCCAUAGAAAGGAAUGAAGUACUGAUUCACACUAUAAUACGAGUGUACCUUGAAAACUAUGCCAAGUGAAAGAAAUCAGUCACAAAGGACCACAGUUUUAUCCCAUGAUCUCACUCAUAUGAAAUGUCCACAGUAGGCAAAUCCACAGAGACAGAACGUAGCUGCGCAGCUGGCCAGGGACCUUGGGGAAGAGACACGGAGAGUCGCCGUUUAACGCCUAUAGAGUUUCUUUUUGGGGUGUUCAUGGUGUUGAACAUAGAUUGUGACGGCUUUGCAGUACCGUGAAAAUAGUAAAAGCUGAUGAACUGUACACGUUCGGCAGUGUUUGCCUGUGCAGGCUUUCCGUUGCCGUGCAGGGACUUCUCUAGUUGGUGUGCUGGCUUAGCUGCUCCUUGGCUCGUGGGAUCUUAGUUCCGCCACCAGGGGUCAAACCUGCACCCCCUGCAUCGGAAGACAAAUUCUUAACCCCUGGACCACCAGGGAAGCCCCAACUGUACCCUUUAAAUGAAUGAAUUGUAUAGUAUAUAUACAACUAUCUCAAACUGUUACUGAAAAAAUGUAGAAGGAGUUUGGUCCCUCAAAAAAUUAAACUAUAUGAUCCAGCAAUUC